CUUCUGAGAUGAGGGUGGUCACGCAAGUUCCGGACGAGCCCCCAAAUGAAAGACCCCCCCCCCAAGGGGGGACCUGCAAUCAAGUCUCCGGAUAGCUGCGGACCCCCAAGAACUCAUGAGAGA
rnacentral:pre_miRNA from 7 species